rnacentral:rRNA from 1 species
UACGUAGGGUGCGAGCGUUUGUCCGGAAUUAUUGGGCGUAAAGAGCUCGUAGGCGGCUUGUCGCGUCGAAUGUGAAAUCUCAGGGCUCAACUCUGACAUUGCAUUCGAUACGGGCAGGCUCGAGUUCGGUAGGGGAGACUGGAAUUCCUGGUGUAGCGGUUGAAAUGCGCAGAUAUCAGGAGGAACACCGGUGGCGGAAGGCGG